rnacentral:rRNA from 1 species
AACGAACGCUGGCGGCAGGCUUAACACAUGCAAGUCGAGCGCCCCGCAAGGGGAGCGGCAGACGGGUGAGUAACGCGUGGGAAUCUACCCAUCUCUACGGAAUAACGCAUGGAAACGUGUGGUAAUACCGUAUACGACUUUCGGGAGAAAGAUUUAUCGGAGAUGGAUGAGCCCGCGUUGGAUUAGCUAGGUGGUGGGGUAAAGGCCUACCAAGGCGACGAUCCAUAGCUGGUCUGAGAGGAUGAGCAGCCACACUGGGGCUGAGACACGGCCCAGACUCCUACGGGAGGCAGCAGUGGGGAAUAUUGGACAAUGGGCGCAAGCCUGAUCCAGCCAUGCCGCGUGAGUGAUGAAGGCCCUAGGGUUGUAAAGCUCUUUCACCGGUGAAGAUAAUGACGGUAACCGGAGAAGAAGCCCCGGCUAACUUCGUGCCAGCCGCCGCCGUAAGAC